rnacentral:rRNA from 1 species
GUAGGGAAUAUUGGGCAAUGGAGGCAACUCUGACCCAGCCAUGCCGCGUGCAGGAUGACGGCCCUCUGGGUUGUAAACUGCUUUUAUACGGGAAGAAAAAAUACUACGUGUAGUAUACUGACGGUACCGUAAGAAUAAGGAUCGGCUAACUCCGUGCCAGCAGCCGCGGUAAUACGGAGGAUCCAAGCGUUGUCCGGAUUUAUUGGGUUUAAAGGGUGCGUAGGCGGAUCUUUACGUCAGUGGUGAAAGCCUGCAGCUUAACUGUAGAAUUGCCAUUGAAACUGAAGAUCAUGAAUGUGGUUAAAGUAGGCGGAAUGUAGCAUGUAGCGGUGAAAUGCUUAGAUAUGAUACAGAACACCGAUAGCGAAGGCAGCUUGCUGAACCAUUAUUGACGCUGAGGCACGAAAGCGUGGGGAGCGAACAGGAUUAGAUACCCUAGUAGUCC